AGGACGAACGCUGGCGGCGUGCCUAACACAUGCAAGUCGAGCGGGACAUUGCGACGGAGACGAAGUACUCGUACGGAGUCAAAGAUGUAAUGUCUAGCGGCGGACGGGUGAGUAACGCGUGAGCAACCUGUCCCUUACAGGGGGAUAACACAGCGAAAGUUGUACUAAUACCGCAUAAGACCACAGGAUGACAUCGUCCAGGGGUCAAAGGAGCAAUCCGGUAAGGGGUGGGCUCGCGUCCGAUUAGAUAGUUGGUGAGGUAACGGCCCACCAAGUCGACGAUCGGUAGCCGACCUGAGAGGGUGAUCGGCCACAUUGGGACUGAGACACGGCCCAAACUCCUACGGGAGGCAGCAGUGGGGAAUAUUGGGCAAUGGGGGGAAACCCUGACCCAGCAACGCCGCGUGAGGGAAGAAGGUUUUCGGAUCGUAAACCUCUGUCCCAGGUGAAGAGGAAGAGACGGUAGCCUGGGAGGAAGCCCCGGCUAACUACGUGCCAGCCGCUGC
rnacentral:rRNA from 1 species